GGUAACUCGUUGCCGUCGGCCGGAGGGAGACAGAGUGUGCGAGGGUUGGCCGGAAUCAGUGGGCGUAAAGGGCGCGUAGGUGGCGCUCCAGGUCUGUGUGGAAAGCUCGACGCUCAACGUCGAGUCGGCCACGGAGACUGGAGGGCUCGAGCACUGUAGGGGCAGAUGGAAUUCCGGGUGUAGCGGUGGAAUGCGUAGAGAUCCGGAAGAACACCGGUGGCGAAGGCGGUCUGCUGGGCAGUAGCUGACACUGAGGCGCGACAGCGUGGGGAGCAAACAGGAUUAGAUACUCCAGUAGUC
rnacentral:rRNA from 1 species